AAUAACAAGAGAGGAGAGAGGAGAGAGAAAACUCUUCCUCCUCAAAAUAGGGGGAACCGAUCCAUCUCCCUCUCUUCUCGGAUCAGGGUGGCACAGCCACCAAGGUGCCCAUCCUCGGCGACGACGGCCGGCCAGUGACGGCCAUCAACUGCGGCACCACCGGCGACGGUGGUCGGCCGGCACAAGAAAAAAAAAGAGAUGAAGAAUCCAAAAAGAUGGAGGAUGAUCCACGGCAAGUUGGUCUAGAUCUUGGCCGGCCCGCUGACUAGCUGCCACCCAAUCUUAGGGGUCCUCGACGGCCGCAAAACCCAGCCAAACCCGGCAGCCGGUGGCGGUGGAACAAGGAAGAAAAGGGGCCAAGCAGAGUACUCUAUUUUUGGAUGAAUCCAGGUGACCAGCCGGCUCAAACCCAAGAAAGGACAAUGUAUAGACAUAGAAAAAGAAGAAGAGGAAGGAAAGCGACGCUCACCUCAAUCCGGCGACGUUCCAGCGACGUUUCCGAUGAUGAAUCAGAGGGGAGAACUCGGAGAGGAAAAGCUUGGGACCGGCGGCGACUUUCGGCGGUUCAAGGGGCGAAAAUUAGAGGAGAGGGAGGAGAUUUAUAUAGGCAAGAUCUCCGAGUUCGAAUCACACUCGGAGAUCCCUCAGGAAUCCCUCCUCCAUCGGAAUUGGGGAGGAAGAAGACCCCAGCCGGGGUCUUCCGCCCUGAUUGCCCCCGUGCCAAGCAUGGGUCAAGUUUGGGCCUGGCCCAUUCGGCCCACGAGCCUUUUUUUUUUUCCAGGGUAUUACAAAAAUAUAGGCUGGGGUUAGACUGAGGUAUCAUUCUCUGAGGUGCUCAAAUUGUAUGCAGUUUAGGCAAAGUUACAAGACCUGAAAGAAGCGAAGAAGACUUGACCUAAAAAAUUGAAAGAGCAAGAAGAGAAAAGAAAGGGAUGUAAAUGUAUGUCAGAGGUUAUGUUCUUUAUUUGUGAUUACAAGACAUUUAUUUGUUGUGUAUCCUGUUAUUUAUUUGUAUUUAUGCAAAUGUGUCAUGUGGCAGGUAAUAGGUGGAAGUACUAACAAUUCUGGUCCCAUGUAUGUUGAAAAUAGUAGCUGGUUUGGCAUUGUGUAUCAGGAACUUGAGAUCGAAAGGAGAUCCAACCUUUUUUUAGAAGUGGUGGUCACAUGAGAAAUAGUAUUGCACCAAGUCAACACCAGGGGGUCACCCAGACAUCCUAUCAAGUCAAGACAACACUGUACCAACUCAAGACUUCACUGCACAUGGUUCUGAAAGAAGACAGUGAUUGUUACUGUUGAGAGGUUGCUAGGGGUUCUGAACAUGGUCUAAGAGAUUGCUAGGGGUUCUAAAUAUCUUUUGAUUGCAAUUGAGUUUUGAACAUGGUUCUGAUUGUGAUUGAGAGGUUCUAAAAGUUCUGAACAUAAUCUAAAUGUCUUGUGAAUGUAAAUAUUAUCAUUUCCAUUUAUGGAUCUGAACAUAAUGUUAUUCCUUCUAAUGUCUUGUGAAUAGAUGUCUUGAACAAUUAGUGGCGUGUAUAGAUCUGAAUAUUUCUCUGUCUAUUGAACAAUUCAAUGCAUAUUGGUU